AGCUUGUAGAUUUCAUGAUCUUAGAGAUGCUGAUUCUUGAAUAUAGAAAAAGGAAGACAUUUCUUUAUAGGAUUUGAUUGGUUAUGAUGUUAUUAUCAUUUCUUAGGACUGGCAUAUUUACGUUGUUGUUGAUCAAUGAAAAUUGUGACCAUGAAGAUGAUCCAUUGAAGCAGUGGAAGCUCUUCAGAUUUGAAUUUUUA